GAUGAAGAACGUAGCGAAAUGCGAUACUUGGUGUGAAUUGCAGAAUCCCGUGAACCAUCGAGUCUUUGAACGCAAGUUGCGCCCGAAGCCAUUAGGCCGAGGGCACGCCUGCCUGGGCGUCACACGUCGUUGCCCCCCCAUCUACUCCUUCGGGAUUGCGGGGGGCGGAUGAUGGCCUCCCGUGCGCCUCGUCGCGCGGUUGGCAUAAAUACCAAGUCCUCGGCGACGCACGCCACGACAAUCGGUGGUUGCGAAACCUCGGUUGCCCGUCGUGUGCGGUCGUCGCGCAUCGAGGGCUCGAAAAAAUUGCCGGGCUCCGGCUCGGCUUUCAACGCGACCCCAGGUCAGGCGGGGUUACCUGCUGAAUUUAAGCAUAUCAAUAAGCGGAGGA
rnacentral:misc_RNA from 1 species